GACGGAGGAUGCAAGUGUUAUCCGGAAUCACUGGGCGUAAAGCGUCUGUAGGUGGUCAAAUAAGUCAACUGUUAAAUCUUGAGGCUCAACCUCAAAAUCGCAGUCGAAACUAUUAGACUAGAGUAUAGUAGGGGUAAAGGGAAUUUCCAGUGGAGCGGUGAAAUGCGUAGAUAUCAGGAGGAAUACCGAUGGCGAAGGCAGGUCUCUGGGCUGACACUGACGCUCAUGCACGAAAGCGUGGGGAGCAAACAGG
rnacentral:rRNA from 1 species